rnacentral:rRNA from 1 species
GGGUCAGUAGGUUGGUCGUGCCACCGGUACGUACUGGUCUCACUGAUUCCUCCUUCCUGAAGAACCGUAAUGCCAUUAAUUUGGUGUUGCGGGGAAACAGGACUGUUACUUUGAGAAAAUUAGAGUGUUUAAAGCAGGCUAACGCUUGAAUACAUUAGCAUGGAAUAAUGAAAUAGGACGAUCGAUCCUAUUUUGUUGGUUUCUAGGAUUGACGUA